rnacentral:misc_RNA from 1 species
GAUGAAGAACGUAGCGAAAUGCGAUAAGUAAUGUGAAUUGCAGAAUCCAGUGAAUCAUCGAAUCUUUGAACGCACAUUGCGCCCGCCAGCAUUCUGGCGGGCAUGCCUGUUCGAGCGUCAUUUCAACCCUCGACCUCCCCUUGGGGAGGUCGGCGUUGGGGACCGGCAGCACACCGCCGGCCCUGAAAUGGAGUGGCGGCCCGUCCGCGGCGACCUCUGCGCAGUAAUACAGCUCGCACCGGAACCCCGACGCGGCCACGCCGUAAAACACCCAACUUCUGAACGUUGACCUCGAAUCAGGUAGGACUACCCGCUGAACUUAAGCAUAUCAAUAAGCGGAGGA